GUCAAACAUCGUGCAGAAUAAAAAUAAUAAAAUGCUUGAAUGGAAAGCCACACCUAGCCAUGUUUGGGUUAUAAAUUAGGAUAUGUUUUGAUGAGUACAUUACGAUUUGCACCAAAUUAAUGGCUUCUAAUAGCAUUUCGUUUACUUGGGUUGUGUUUUUCCUUUGUGUGUUCGGUUUAUUAUGUGCUAGGGCAACAUCAUUGAACCUAGAUGGUGCUUCUGAGUUUCAUGCAAGUUCAUAUGAAAAAGCUCAGAGAAGAAGACUAUUUGCCCAACAACGAAAGUUGCUCGCAAAAUCUGAUCGUCCUUGUUGUCACAAUUAUCGUCCAUGAUGUGGCUGUUGUGUUGCGUUUGAAAGAAUACAAGUAGAAAUAACCAUAUAUUAGAUACCAUGGCUAUGCUUAUUUGUAUUUGGUUUGAAUAUUGUGUUGCAAUUGGUCUACGUUAUAUAGUGUAAAAUAUCAGGUUUGGGGAGUAGUUCACUUUUGUUUUUUUUAUAUAUAUUUUUAUCAUUCUUUUUUUAAACAUUAAUUGAAGUAUUACUAUGUAUUAUAUUUCAAAUUAAAAUUCUGCAAACAUGCAUUAGCAUUAA